rnacentral:rRNA from 2 species
UACGUAGGGUGCGAGCGUUGUCCGGAAUUACUGGGCGUAAAGGGCUCGUAGGUGGUUUGUCGCGUCGUCUGUGAAAUUCUGGGGCUUAACUCCGGGCGUGCAGGCGAUACGGGCAUAACUUGAGUGCUGUAGGGGUAACUGGAAUUCCUGGUGUAGCGGUGAAAUGCGCAGAUAUCAGGAGGAACACCGAUGGCGAAGGCAGGUUACUGGGCAGUUACUGACGCUGAGGAGCGAAAGCAUGGGUAGCGAACAGG